rnacentral:rRNA from 1 species
UACGUAGGGUGCAAGCGUUGUCCGGAAUUAUUGGGCGUAAAGAGCUCGUAGGCGGUUCGUCGCGUCGGCUGUGAAAUCCCGAGGCUCAACCUCGGGUCUGCAGUCGAUACGGGCGGACUGGAGUUCGGCAGGGGAGACUGGAAUUCCUGGUGUAGCGGUGAAAUGCGCAGAUAUCAGGAGGAACACCGGUGGCGAAGGCGGUUCUCUGGGCAUUACCUGACGCUGAGGAGCGAAAGUGUGGGGAGCGAACAGG